AUUGAACGCUGGCGGCAGGCCUAACACAUGCAAGUCGAACGAGUGGCGGACGGGUGAGUAAUGUCUGGGAAACUGCCCGAUGGAGGGGGAUAACUACUGGAAACGGUAGCUAAUACCGCAUACCAUCGGAUGUGCCCAGAUGGGAUUAGCUUGUAGGUGAGGUAACGGCUCACCUAGGCGACGAUCCCUAGCUGGUCUGAGAGGAUGACCAGCAAGACUGGAACGUAGACACGGUCCAGACUCCGACGGGAGGCAGCAGUGGGGAAUAUUGCACAAUGGGCGCAAGCGUGAUGCAGCCAUGCCGCGUGGAGGAAGAAGGCCAUCGGGUUUUAAAGUACUUUCGGCGGGGAGGCGUUACCCGCAGAAGAAUCACCUGCUAACUCCGUGCCAGCAGCCGCGGUAAUAC
rnacentral:rRNA from 1 species